UACAGAGGGUGCAAGCGUUAAUCGGAUUUACUGGGCGUAAAGCGCGCGUAGGCGGCUAAUUAAGUCAAAUGUGAAAUCCCCGAGCUUAACUUGGGAAUUGCAUUCGAUACUGGUUAGCUAGAGUGUGGGAGAGGAUGGUAGAAUUCCAGGUGUAGCGGUGAAAUGCGUAGAUAUCAGGAGGAACACCGGUGGCGAAGGCGGCUACCUGGACAGAAACUGACGCUGAGGCGCGAAAGCUAGGGGAGCAAACAGG
rnacentral:rRNA from 1 species